UACAGAGGGUGCGAGCGUUGUCCGGAAUCACUGGGCGUAAAGGGCGCGUAGGUGGCGCCCCAAGUCUGUGGUGAAAGCUCGAUGCUCAACAUCGAGUCGGCCACGGAAACUGGGGGGGCUGGAGCACUGUAGAGGCUAAUGGAAUUCCAGGUGUAGCGGUGAAAUGCGUAGAUAUCUGGAGGAACAUCAGUGGCGAAGGCGACACCCUGGACUCAUACUGACACUGAGGUGCGAAAGCGUGGGGAGC
rnacentral:rRNA from 1 species